GAUGAACGCUGGCGGCGUGCUUAACACAUGCAAGUCGAACGAUGACGCCCAGCUUGCUGGGUGUAUUAGUGGCGAACGGGUGAGUAACACGUGAGUAACCUGCCCUUAACUCUUGGAUAAGCCUUGGAAACUGGGUCUAUUACCGGAUAGGAGCGUCCACCGCAUGGUGGGUGUUGGAAAGAUUGAUCGGUUUUGGAUGGACUCGCGGCCUAUCAGCUUGUUCGUGUGGUCAUGGCUCACCAAGGCGACGACGGGUAGCCGACCUGAGAGGGUGACCGGCCACACUAGGACUGAGACACGGAGCAGACUCCUACGGGAGGCAGCAGUGGGAAAUAUUGCACAAUGGGAGCAAGCCUGAUGCAGCGACGCCGCGUGAGGGAUGACGGCCUUCGGGUUGUGAACCUCUUUCAGUAGAGAAGAAGCGAAAGUGACGGUACCUGAAGAAGAAGCACCGGCUAACUACGUG
rnacentral:rRNA from 1 species